CCAGCAGCCGCGGUAAUUCCAGCUCCAAUAGCGUAUAUUAAAAUUGUUGCAGUUAAAAAGCUCGUAGUUGAAUUUCUGCUAAAAAUAACCGGUCUGCUUUUAAUAAAGGUGGUAUCUUGGUGUGUUUUUAGCAAUAAUGUCCUUUGAAAUGUUUUUUACUUUAUUGUAAUAAAUUAUAUUCAGGAUUUUUACUUUGAGAAAAUUAGAGUGUUUCUAGCAGGCUAACGCUUUGAAUACUGCAGCAUGGAAUAAUAAAAUAGGAUUUUGGUUCUACAUUAUUGGUUUUAAGAGCUAAAUUAAUGAUUGAUAGGGACAGUUGGGGGCAUU
rnacentral:rRNA from 1 species